UACGUAGGGUGCAAGCGUUAAUCGGAAUUACUGGGCGUAAAGCGUGCGCAGGCGGUUUUGUAAGUCUGUCGUGAAAUCCCCGGGCUCAACCUGGGAAUUGCGAUGGAGACUGCAAGGCUAGAAUCUGGCAGAGGGGGUAGAAUUCCACGUGUAGCAGUGAAAUGCGUAGAGAUGUGGAGGAACACCGAUGGCGAAGGCAGCCCCUGGGUCAAGAUUGACGCUCAUGCACGAAAGCGUGGGGAGCCAAACGAGG
rnacentral:rRNA from 1 species